AUCGUUUACAGCUGGGACUACCCGGGUAUCUAAUCCGGUUUGCUCCCCCAGCUUUCAUCCCUCACCGUCGAGCGCGUUCUGGCAAGCCGCUUUCGCCACUGGUGGUCUUCAAUGGAUCAACGGAUUUUACCCCUACCCAUCGAGUACCGCUUGCCUCUCCCGCCUCCUAGCUCUAUAGUAUCUUCCGCAGCCCAUCUGUUAAGCAGGUGGAUUUAACGGAAGACUUGUAGAACCGGCUACGGAUGCUUUAGGCCCAAUAAACGUCCCGACCACUCGGGGUGCUGGUAUUACCGCGGCGGCUGACACCAGACUUGCCCACCCCUUAUUCUGCACCAUUUUUAGAGGUGCCAAAAGAUCUCCUUAACGGAAAUCACUCAGAGUAACCCUGUCAAGCUUUCGCCUAUUGCAGAGGUUUCGCGCCUGCUGCGCCCCAUAGGGCCUGGGCCCUUGUCUCAGUGCCCAUCUCCGGGCUCCUCCUCUCAGAGCCCGUACCGGUUACAGGUUUGGUGGGCCAUUACCUCACCAACAGCCUGAUCGGCCGCAGUCCAAUCCAGGGGCCAUAUAGAUUUAAGUCAUUACCCAUUCCAGAAGUGAUGACCUAUCGCGGUUUAUCCUCAGUUUCCCGAGGUUAUCCACGUCCCCUGGGCAUGUUGACUACGUGUUACUGAGCCGUAUGCCACAUAUUGCUAUGUUGACUCGCAUGGCUUAGUCCCACUCCGAUAGCAGUCGGGUCCGGCAGGAUCAACCGGA
rnacentral:rRNA from 1 species